ensembl:lncRNA
UACAUCGAUGAGGAGGAAGGGGCUUUGGCAUCUUUCAGUACAUAUGCGGGGUGGCCUUUACUGGGGUGGAAGGCUGGGGGAUUGCAGCCCGCUUCCCUUCCUCUCCCAUUUUCUGCCUCGGCGGGGCGCAGGGGGGCAGCCCCGCGGGUGCGGGAUCCGAAAUCCCGAGCCCAGCAGCAGCCCCGUGCAUCCCUCCCGGACUUGGGGAAACCAAGCGGCAGAUGUGGAUGGUUUAUUUUCCUCCCUCUUCUGCUGCGGUUUGUUGUUUUAAUUUUUUUUUUAUUAUUAUUAUUAUUUUUUGCCCCUAGCUGGUACCGCAAGCCAGCGCUGGGAUCCCACCUGCCCACCUGCGGGCCUUCCUCCGGGGGGGCUGCGCGAAGGGGAACCGCAUCCCUCUUCCUCGGGGAGAGGAGGAGGAGGAGAAGGAGGAGGAGGAGGAGGAGAGGGAGGGAGGGGCCGGCUCUGGGCGCAUUGUUCCGCGCUCUCUGCCAAGAAGUGGGUGGCUGCGGGCUCGUCCCCUGCCCCUCGCUCAAACUUUGCUCCCUCCGGCGCCGGGGGGCGGCCGGCCCCGACCCCCCUCCUGCUCCUCCCGGUGCCGGGCUGCGGCUCCCGGCGGGGCAGAGCCGGGCAGAGCCAGCUGCGGAGGAGGAGGAGAAUGGGCAGCGAGUGAGCCGAGCCGGGCAGCGAGAUCCGGCCCCCGCCAUGACCCUGGUGCUGCCCAUGCAGCGGCUGGGCCGCCCCAGCGCCGCCGAGGGAGCCGCCGACCUCGCCGCCUACCGAGCCCUCUGGGAGCCGCCCGCCUGCGGCCGCACCGCCACCGGCACCGGCACCGGCACCGGCACCGCAGCCCCCGGCACUGCUCCGGCACCGCCAGCCACCGGGACCCCCUCCUCAGGUAGGUCCCGUCCCGUCCCGUGGCCCCCCGUCCCGUCCCGUCCCGUCCCGUCCCGUCCCGUCCCGUCCCGUCCCGUCCCGUGUGCCCCCCGUCCCAUCCCGUGGACCCUCGUCCUGUCCCAUCCCAUCGCCCCUCAUCCCGUCCCGUCCCAACCCGUGUGCCCCCUGUCCGAUCCCGUGGCCCCCAAUCCCAUCCUGUCCCAUCCCGUGUGCAACCCGUCCCGUCCUGUCCCGUCCCGUCCCGUCCUUUCCCCUCUCCCCACUCGCAGCCCCGGCAGCGGGCUCCCCUCAUCGGGAAAAAAAGGAUUUGGGUUGGAGGACCUCCGGCAAACCGCGUGUCGUUUGUCCUGUCUGAUUUAUUGCCCGCAGGAUCGCAUUACAGGGGAAUUUCAGAUCCUGUAGCGACAUCCAAGAUCACAUACUUUAAAAGGAAAUAUGUGGAAGAAGAGGAUUUCCAUCCACCACUCGGCAGCUGUGCGCAUAAAGUAUGUUUUCUCAUAGCCGUUAUUUUCACCCCGAGUUUCAGAGGCUUAGCACCAGCCAUUGACCCGCUUCCAGAAGGCUGAAAUACUCUGCUGAAAUUAGGGGAGCAAUCCAGCUGUUUGCCCAGAAACAAAUAGUUUUCGCUUGCUCACAUUUAUUGUUUUAUUGUCAGCAAACUGCCUAGGAAGCAAAGGCGUUUCUGUAUUUAUAACAACUCUAAGUGUCAAUGCUCAGAAUAACUUUUUUUUUUCUCCAGAUUCUUUUGUUCUUAGAUAGUUUAUACCAUGCGUACAGAAGCAGUUCUGUAGAGUUUGAACACCAGAAAUGAAGAACAAACGUAAAUAAGAAGGGCCCACAAUUCCCUAUUCACUCCGAACUUUUUCCAGGGGAGAAAAUAACAGCAGGUUCCCUGUGCCCCAGAAGGGCUAGAGAGCCUCUGGAGAAGCAGAAUGACUCGAAAAGGGAGUACAAGCUCCUCCGGUAUUUAAUCCUGUUUAUUAAAAAGCUAAUAACUCCGAAAGAACAGAUUAGUAAGUGAAAGAAUUUUUCUUUUUUUUUUUUUUAUUUCUUUUCUUUUUUUUUUUUUUUUUUUAACGAAAGCCAUCAAGGGAGGGAUUAGAGCAGCCGUUUCCCAGGCCGGUGAAUACAUAAAUUGAAAUCUGACUUUUUUUUCUGGGAGACGUGGUGCUCUUGUUCACCAGGGGUGCAGCCCUGUGAGGAGCCCAACACCAGGACUGACGUGCUUGAGGACAUCCCGUGUCCUGGGACACCCUCGGGACACCCCCGGGACAUCCCCCUGCCUCGCAGCAUCCCGCCGGGCCCCAGCACUGCCCCGUCACUGGUGCAGGUGGAGAGGACAGGACGCGCCCCACUCUGCUGGAAGCCCUGCUCACAGAAGGUGGCAAUGCCACCAGAGCCCCAGAGAUGGACACUGAAACAGGCCGAGGCGCAGAGCACUGAGGCUCCUCCAUGACCUUUCCCUACACCGUGGAUGCAACCUCCUGGGAGGAGCGCAGGGUGCGGCACCUCUCCCCUGCCAUGGUGCCGGGUGGGGAGGUCAGCCCCGAUGGAUCCUGCUGCCCCGGAGGAGAAGCGGGCCGUAACACCAAGCUGGACCUUAGAGCAGCCAAAGGAAUUUUCAGCUAUGAAGAGCCUCAGCUGGGGAUAAGGGAUUGACUGGCAGGUGGAAAACUGCCCCGCCAUUAACUCCAGAAGGUGCUGGGUCUGCACCCAGAGCAACGAAGAGAGAGCAAUGAGGGUGGCGAAAAAUGGCCUCCGUUUAGCAAGCAUGUCUCCCACGUGUCACGUCACACCUUUCUCUGAUUUCAGCCAGUUUUUUUUCCUUGGAUAGAUUGGUGGAUUUUUUGCAUCAGCAAUUAGUUUCCUCACAAAGCGGAGGAAUCACUGCCUGUCCCUUUCUAACAGCACCAAAAAGCGCUGUAGAGGUGCUGGCGAGAGAGGCCUGUCUCAGGCUCCCGAGCUGUUGUAGACGCCUAUCAUGCCAGAAACCCUGGGCAACCUGGCCCUGCUGUCCAGCACAGAUAUCCUCCCUGCUUUGCAACCCAGAGAUCUGGGGGAGGGAGGAUUCUCCCCAGAUUAUUUUGAAUUUUGUACGCUUUCUGUGCCUCCUCUGCCCAGCAAGGAGGGCAUUA